rnacentral:rRNA from 1 species
GACGAACGCUGGCGGUGUGCUUAACACAUGCAAGUGGUGCGACGAACCAGAGCUUGCUCUGGGGCAAAGCCGCGAACGGGUGAGUAACACGUGGGUAAUCUACCCCGAUGACCGGGACAACCCGAGGAAACUCGGGCUAAUACCGGAUGUGGUACGGAGACAUAAGUCUCUUUACUAAAGGUAGCUUCGGCUUCCGCAUUGGGAGGGGCCCGCGGCCCAUUAGCUAGUUGGUGGGGUCAAGGCCUACCAAGGCAACGAUGGGUAGCUGGUCUGAGAGGACGAUCAGUCACACUGGGACUGAGACACGGCCCAGACUCCUACGGGAGGCAGCAGUGGGGAAUCUUGCGCAAUGCGCGAAAGCGUGACGCAGCAACACCGCGUGAGGGAAGACGGCCUUAGGGUUGUAAACCUCUUUCAGAUGGGACGAAGGUGAUGCGGUGAAUAGCCGAUGUCAUUGACGGUACCGUCAGAAGAAGCUCCGGCUAACUACGUGCCAGCAGCCGCGGUAAU